CAUGUGUAUAUUUCAUUACUAUGUAGUAGCUCUUUUCAUACCUAUCUAUCUAUCUGUUGCUUAUGCCUGCUUAGACCUAGUGGGAAGAUCGGCGGAGUCGGCGGCCGAACCCACUGGGAACUAUAUUUAUAUAGUUCUCACCCCACUUUUUUGCAGGGCCUAGCGAGAGAAUACCGGCAGAGGACUGUGGUAAGGGCAUAGCGCCCUAAGUUAGCUAGCAGCUUCCAUUUGCAUUAGAGUACCUUCGCUUACAUGAUUAGUAGAUGUUGUAUUUUGGAGAGCUAGCAUGUAUCAUGAGAUGAAAUUGUAAAACUUAUGUAUUCGUUUUGGGAGAUGAAAAUGUAAACCAAUAUAUAAAUGUUGAAUGCCUUGCGGAUGUAAUAGCUAGAACUAUCUCUCUUUAUGCACUUGUAUAUUUACUUGUAUCUUGCUCUUGUUGGCAUAGCACUUGUGGUGCUUCGUUGAAUCAUGUAUGUUAAUUGAGUUUAUUCUGGGCAACUCUUGUACAUGAUCUUGUUGUUGAGCCUUGGGCGGACAGAGGAGGUGCUGUCCGUCCGGCGUCUGUUCGACGUGCCCGGAUCCGACCAAAUUGGCGGGUCGCGGGGCGUUAC
rnacentral:lncRNA from 1 species